rnacentral:rRNA from 1 species
UACGUAGGUGGCAAGCGUUGUCCGGAAUUAUUGGGCGUAAAGCGCGCGCAGGCGGUCCUCUAAGUCUGAUGUGAAAGCCCACGGCUCAACCGUGGAGGGUCAUUGGAAACUGGGGGACUUGAGUGCAGGAGAGAAGAGUGGAAUUCCACGUGUAGCGGUGAAAUGCGUAGAGAUGUGGAGGAACACCAGUGGCGAAGGCGACUCUUUGGCCUGUAACUGACGCUGAGGCGCGAAAGCUAGGGGAGCAAACGGG